UACUUAAGUAGGUAGCCGGUCCGGAUAUCGCGAAUACAUUAUAUUAUUAUGUAGGUAGGUAUAAGCCAAUAUGAAACGGCACCCACAGCCUGCAGAGGCAUAAAAUAUUUUUUCAGUAUCCGGGCGCGACCCGUUCAGUGUGCCCGCGUCAUCCCGCCAGCCAUGCGUAGAUAACGGGACGAGGCGGCGCCCGCGCACCUACGCCCGGAUACCGAACACCCCACGAACAGCUAGCAACAGGCAACAACUAACAUUAAACACCAGUGGAUAGGUGGACUAGUGAUACAUAAAUGCCUAAAGUUCGUUUCAUUAUGAUAUUAAGGCAGCGUCGACCCAAAAAAGAGGGGCAAUUUAAGCAGCAGACCAACGGAAAAAGAAAUCCAGAAAAACCAGAUGUUAUGAUGCUCAGGUGAUGGUCCACCCACCUCGUGCAGCCUGCAGCUAAGCAGUCUGGAGCCGAGUCACAGCCACGGAACACCGAGCCUUGCUGUGCGUGAAUACUUAUGAAGUCACGAAGGGGUGGUCUCAGCGUGUUCCAUAUGAAGCUGGCUGCAUAACGGAACGAGUGGCGAAACAUAGCGGUUUUGUGCUUCGGUGUGACCAUCAGAUAAGUGGACGCCCUAGUAUUAAUUGAGUGAUAGUCGCGUGACCAUGCAAGUUUGUUGAAUAGGUACUGGGGUGAUUUGUACUUUAUAACUCCAAACAGAAGCGCAGCAAGGUGCAGCCGCUGUCUGGCGGCUACCUUCAGUAGCCCGCAAGAGUUGAGAUAAGGGGUAACAUGGGAGCGGGGGGGGAUGUCCAUACAAAAUCUAAUACAGGCGUUUUGUACCCUUUGCAGUAGUUUAUCAGUUUUUCUUAAAAGGCAUGGGCCAUAUACAGUGUCAGCAUAAUUUAAUUUGGAAAGAACAAGCGACUCACAUAACUGUAUUCGCAGAUUAACAUCAAUGUAACGUCUUUUUUAUAAAGUGUCUUAAGUCUGAAGAAGCAGUUUUUGACCAUUUCAGUUACGUGUUUUUCAAACCGUAAAUAAUUGUCGAAUGUUAGGCCUAGGUUACGAGCUUCGGUUACCUGUUCAAUAUCUACUCCUGCUAGUUUUAUAUUAGGGUUAUUGUUAUUAGUAGUUUGAACUUGUUUCCUUGUGCCGAUUACAAUAUAUUUUGAUUUGUCAGGGUUUAGCUUUAAAAAAUUUUUGUUCGACCAAGUUGAAAUACGAUCCAAGUCAUGGUUUAUAAGAUCACAAGUAUUAUUAACGUCAGAUGGGGG